rnacentral:rRNA from 1 species
GUGCCAGCGGCCGCGGUAAUACGGAAGGUCCGGGCGUUAUCCGGAUUUAUUGGGUUUAAAGGGAGCGCAGGCCGGAUGCUAAGCGUGACGUGAAAUGCCGCGGCUCAACCGUGGAAGUGCGUCGCGAACUGGUGUUCUUGAGUAUGUUCGACGUAGGCGGAAUUUCGUGGUGUAGCGGUGAAAUGCUUAGAUAUCACGAAGAACCCCGAUUGCGAAGGCAGCCUACGAGGCCAUUACUGACGCUAAAGCUCGAAGGUGCGGGUAUCGAACAGGAUUAGAUACCCUGGUAGUCCGCACGGUAAACGAUGGAUGCCCGCUGUCGGCGAUACAAUGCCGGUGGCCAAGGGAAACCGUUAAGCAUCCCACCUGGGGAGUACGCCGGCAACGGUGAAACUCAAAGGAAUUGACGGGGGCCCGCACAAGCGGAGGAACAUGUGGUUUAAUUCGAUGAUACGCGAGGAACCUUACCCGGGCUUGAACUGCAGAGGAAGGAUCUGGAGACAGUGACGCCUUCGGGCCUCUGUGGAGGUGCUGCAUGGUUGUCGUCAGCUCGUGCCGUGAGGUGUCGGCUUAAGUGCCAUAACGAGCGCAACCCCUUUCGUCAGUUGCCAUCAGGUGAUGCUGGGCACUCUGGCGACACUGCCGCCGUAAGGUGUGAGGAAGGUGGGGAUGACGUCAAAUCAGCACGGCCCUUACGUCCGGGGCUACACACGUGUUACAAUGGGUGAUACAGAGAGUCAGCGCAUCGCAAGCUGCGUUCAAUCAGAAAAGUCGCCCUCAGUUCGGACUGGGGUCUGCAACCCGACCCCACGAAGCUGGAUUCGCUAGUAAUCGCGCAUCAGCCAUGGCGCGGUGAAUACGUUCCCGGGCCUUGUACACACCGCCCGU